CCUACGGGUGACAGCAGUGAGGAAUAUUGGUCAAUGGGCGGAAGUCUGAACCAGCCAAGUAGCGUGAAGGAUGACUGCCCUAUGGGUUGUAAACUUCUUUUAUAUGGGAAUAACAUGUUCCACGUGUGGGGUUUUGUAUGUACCGUAUGAAUAAGGAUCGGCUAACUCCGUGCCAGCAGCCGCGGUAAUACGGAGGAUCCGAGCGUUAUCCGGAUUUAUUGGGUUUAAAGGGAGCGUAGGUGGAUUGUCAAGUCAGUUGUGAAAGUUUGCGGCUCAACCGUCACAUUGCAGUGGAAACUGGCAGGCUUGAGUACAGGAGAGGUGGGCGGAAUUCGUGGUGUAGCGGUGAAAUGCUUAGAUAUCACGAAGAACCCCGAUUGCGAAGGCAGCUCACUGGACUGCAACUGACGCUGAGGCUCGAAAGUGUGGGUAUCAAACAGGAUUAGAUACCCCUGUAGUC
rnacentral:rRNA from 1 species